rnacentral:rRNA from 1 species
UGGGGAAUUUUGGACAAUGGGGGCAACCCUGAUCCAGCCAUGCCGCGUGCGGGAAGAAGGCCUUCGGGUUGUAAACCGCUUUUGGUCGGGACGAAGGGGCGCAGGCCAAUACCCUGCGUUGUUGACGGUACCGGCAGAAUAAGCACCGGCUAACUACGUGCCAGCAGCCGCGGUAAUACGUAGGGUGCGAGCGUUAAUCGGAAUUACUGGGCGUAAAGCGUGCGCAGGCGGUUCGUUAAGUUCGUUGUGAAAGCCCCGGGCUCAACCUGGGAAGGGCAAUGGAAACUGGCGGGCUGGAGUGCGGCAGAGGGUGGUGGAAUUCCACGUGUAGCAGUGAAAUGCGUAGAGAUGUGGAGGAACACCGAUGGCGAAGGCAGCCCCCUGGGCCGACACUGACGCUCAGGCACGAAAGCGUGGGGAGCAAACAG